CCGGAUAAGCCUUUGGGUAAAAGAUCUAUUGCCCCAAGAGGAGCUCGCGUCUGAUUAUCUAGUUGGUGAGGUAAAAGCUCACCAGUGCAGCGAUCAGUAGCUGGUCUGAGAGGACGAUCAGCCACACUGGGACUGAGACACUGCCCAUACUCCUACGGGAGGCAGCAGUGGGGAAUUUUCCGCGAUGGGUGAAAGCCUGACGGAGCAAGACCGAGUGAGGGACGAAGGCUCUUGGGUUGUAAACCUCUUGUCUCAGGGAAGAAGCUCUGACGGUACCUGAGGAAUCAGGCUCGGCUAACUCCGUGCCAUCAGACGAGGUAAUACGGAGGAGGCAAGCGUUAUCCGGAAUUAUUGGGCGUGAAGCGUCCGUAUGUGGAGAUUCAAGUCUGCUGUCGAAGCACGGGGCUUAUACUCCGUUAAGGCAUGUGGAAACUGAAUAGCUAGAGUGCCGUAGCGGGUAGAGGGAAUUCCCGGUGUAGCGGUGAAAUGCGUAGAGAUCGGGAAGAACAUCGGUGGCGAAAGCGCCCUACUGGACGGCAACUGACACUCACGGACGUAAGCUAGGGGAGCGAAUGGGAUUAGAUACCCCAGUAGUCCUAGCUGUGAACGAUGGACUACUAGGUGUAGCUUGUAUCGACACGAACUGUGCCGAAGAUAACGCGUUAAGUAUCCCGCCUGGGGAGUACGCACGCAAGUGUGAAACUCAAAGGAAUUGACGGGGGCCCGCACAAACGGUGGAGUAUGUGGUUUAAUUAGAUGCAACACGAAGAACCUUACCAGGGCUUGACAUGUCCGGAAUCACGCUGAAAGCUGGGACUGCCUUCGGGAUCCGGAACACAGCGUGGUGCAUGGCAGUCGUCAGCUCGUGUCGUGAGAUGUUGGGUUAAUUCCCGCAACGAGCGCAACCCUCGUCUUUAGUUGCCAGCAUUAAGUUGGCCACUCUAGAGAGACUGCCGGUGACAAACCGGAGGAAGGUGGGGAUGACGUCAAGUCAGCAUGCCCCU
rnacentral:rRNA from 1 species